rnacentral:rRNA from 1 species
GAUGAACGCUAGCUACAGGCUUAACACAUGCAAGUCGAGGGGCAGCAUGAAAGGAACUUCGGUUCUUUUUGAUGGCGACCGGCGCACGGGUGCGUAACGCGUAUCGAACCUGCCUCAUACUCGGGGAUAGCCUCGCGAAAGUAAGAUUAAUACCCGGCGGUCUCGGAUGGCCGCAUGACUGUCCGAGUGAAGAUUUAUCGGUAUGAGAUGGCGAUGCGUCCCAUUAGCUAGUUGGUGAGGUAACGGCUCACCAAGGCAUCGAUGGGUAGGGGUUCUGAGAGGAAGGUCCCCCACAUUGGAACUGAGACACGGUCCAAACUCCUACGGGAGGCAGCAGUGAGGAAUAUUGGUCAAUGGACGAAAGUCUGAACCAGCCAAGUAGCGUGCAGGACGACGGCCCUCUGGGUUGUAAACUGCUUUUAGUUGGGAAUAAAAAGAGGGACGUGUCCCUUAUUGUAUGUACCAUCAGAAAAAGGACCGGCUAAUUCCGUGCCAGCAGCCGCAGUAA